AAACGAGAGGACAGAAAGGGGAAAGCUGGAAGUCCCGCAGGCGGGACGCGAAGGGAGGCUGGGGCAGGAGGCCGGAGGUGCGGGACUUGCUUGCUCCUAUUAGGCGAUAGAGAGCCUGCAACUAAACAAGCCCUCUUUUUCCACACGGUGGAUGCUGAGAGACUCUAAUCAAAUAUCUCAGUAACGUGGAUGGUGCAAUUAUCAUGUUGUUAGGCAUUCCCUUAUUGACGUGCACCACACUUAGCGUCUGAUCUCCGAAAUAUACGUCAAAGCAGUUUCUCAGUUUCUGACAUGUUUAGAGAGCCUGUCCUGCAGGUAUAUUUUGUCAGCACUUGGUGAACAGUUCCAGGGAGUUCCAUAUGCACUUGAUAAACAGCACUAAAAAUGUGAAUCCGAUUCAAAUAUCAGUUCAAUAGACUUGUUCCCCCCUCUUCCCCCUCCUUACUCCUCCCUUCCCAGUUGCAGUUCUGCAGCCACUGUUGCGGUUACAGAGCAACAUUUAAACGCUGUAAAGUGCGUUUAAAUGUUCUUCAACCCUGCCCCCUUCCCUCCCGCGUCCGCCGAGGAGUUCCAGAUGACGUUACUUCUGUGUCCAUUUUAAAAACCUCUCUCGGUAUUCAGCUACAAAUCAUCCAACCUAAAAGCAAAUAGUGUUAUAAGGGGACAUAACAAAGUAGGAGAGAAGGGAGGGGAAGGGAGAUACACACUUCUAUCAAAUGAUGCUUCCCAAAGAGAGAAUUACAUUGAUCUAGAUUUUAAAAGCUUGUAUCCUUGAGGUCAUAAUGCUGUACACAUUUCUAUGCACGCACAGGUAUAGUCUGAGGUGUAGGGGUUAUUACAAGAGUUUUCAACUGCAGUCAUGGCUGCAGAUUUAGAAAGUUCUUUUAUUAGUUGCGUCUGGACACCCGCAUGCAUUAGCAAAACCACUGGAUUGAAUCAAGUGCCUGAACAUUGCAAUCUUCUUCACAGGAUUUUCUGUACCACCAGAGUACAGCCGGGUAGGAUGCCCUCCUUGGCCAGAGGCCAGCAGCUGAACGAAGUCAAGUGAAUAAAAUAAGUACAAAGUAGGGCUCUUUGCAAAACGAGGGUGAAAUGCACGUACAGGGAGCAUCUAGAAAAGAUGAACAUCCGAGUUUUGUAGCUCCAAAUCAUUACAUUCUCGGUAACAGAACACCAUCAUUAUUCACGAGUGAAAGCGACAAAAUCCUGGUCAUAUGGUGAUUAUUGUUAUAACGAGGACCAAUAACGUCUUUGUUAUAAAAAUAGUGUUUGUUAUGAAGAAAUUGGGUAAGCAGCCAUCCAGAUAAAUACACCCUGUGCCUAGCA